rnacentral:rRNA from 1 species
AAACAUGCAAGUCGAGCGGAAACGAUCCUAGCUUGCUAGGAGGCGUCGAGCGGCGGACGGGUGAGUAACACGUGAGAAUCUGCCCAUUAGUGGGGGAUAACCUGGGGAAACCCAGGCUAAUACCGCAUAAUCCCUACGGGGGAAAGCAGGGGACCUUCGGGCCUUGUGCUGAUGGAUGAGCUCGCGUCGGAUUAGCUUGUUGGUGAGGUAAUGGCUCACCAAGGCGACGAUCCGUAGCUGGUCUUAGAGGAUGAUCAGCCACACCGGGACUGAGACACGGCCCGGACUCCUACGGGAGGCAGCAGUGGGGAAUCUUGGACAAUGGGGGCAACCCUGAUCCAGCCAUGCCGCGUGUGUGAAGAAGGCCUUCGGGUUGUAAAGCACUUUCAGUAGGGAGGAAGGCUUAUCCUUAAUACGGAUGAGUACUUGACGUUACCUACAGAAGAAGCACCGGCUAAUUUCGUGCCAGCAGCCGCGGUAAUACGAAAGGUGCAAGCGUUAAUCGGAAUUACUGGGCGUAAAGCGCGCGUAGGCGGUUUGCUAAGUCAGAUGUGAAAGCCCCGGGCUCAACCUGGGAACUGCAUUUGAAACUGGCAGGCUAGAAUGCAGUAGAGGGAGGUGGAAUUUCCGGUGUAGCGGUGAAAUGCGUAGAGAUCGGAAGGAACACCAGU